GAUGAACGCUGGCGGCGUGCCUAAUACAUGCAAGUCGAGCGAACGGGCGAGAAGCUUGCUUCUCUGAUGUUAGCGGCGGACGGGUGAGUAACACGUGGAUAACCUACCUAUAAGACUGGGAUAACUUUGGGAAACCGUAGCUAAUACCGGAUAAUAUUUUGAACCGCAUGGUUCAAAAGUGAAAGACGGUCUUGCUGUCACUUAUAGAUGGAUCCGCGCUGCAUUAGCUAGUUGGUAAGGUAACGGCUUACCAAGGCAACGAUGCAUAGCCGACCUGAGAGGGUGAUCGGCCACACUGGAACUGAGACACGGUCCAGACUCCUACGGGAGGCAGCAGUAGGGAAUCUUCCGCAAUGGGCGAAAGCCUGACGGAGCAACGCCGCGUGAGUGAUGAAGGUCUUCGGAUCGUAAAACUCUGUUAUUAGGGAAGAACAUAUGUGUAAGUAACUGUGCACAUCUUGACGGUACCUAAUCAGAAAGCCACGGCUAACUACGUG
rnacentral:rRNA from 1 species